UACGGAGGGGGCUAGCGUUGUUCGGAAUCACUGGGCAUAAAGAGCACGUAGGCUGCGCGCUAAGUCAGGUGUGAAAUCCCCCGGCUCAACCGGGGAACUGCACCUGAUACUGGCGUGCUCGAGGACGGUAGGGGUGAGUGGAACUCCAGGUGGAGCGGUGAAAUGCGUAGAUAUCUGGAGGAACACCGGUGGCGAAAGCGGCUCACUGGACCGUCUCUGACGCUGAGGUGCGAAAGCUAGGGUAGCAAACGGG
rnacentral:rRNA from 1 species